rnacentral:lncRNA from 1 species
AAACAGGAAUGCCGGGAAGAAGCAGAAAGCUACACGGAAAAAGGCCUUUCCUGUGCUUCAGCUCCCUGGAAACUGGCACUGCAGAAGGAGGCAAGGGUGUUAAAACGAGGAGGCAGUGUCAGGACAAAAUCCCAGGAUCUGGAACCCCAAAUACUUGGCUCGCGGGAAGUGCUCAGUAAACCAUUUUAAGGUCCUGGAGAAAGAUUCGCGCAAAAAGAGGUGUAGCGCGGGGGGAGUGUUUUGUCGUGAAAAGAACCAGCUUACAUUAAGGAAGAAAUGAAAGAGGAAAUUUUAAAAUGCUAAUAACGCAGCCUUCUUGCCUUGUCUCUAUCUCUGAU